rnacentral:rRNA from 1 species
AGCGAACGCUGGCGGCAGGCCUAACACAUGCAAGUCGAACGAACUCUUCGGAGUUAGUGGCGGACGGGUGAGUAACACGUGGGAACGUGCCUUUUGGUUCGGAAUAACUCAGGGAAACUUGUGCUAAUACCGAAUGUGCCCUUCGGGGGAAAGAUUUAUCGCCAUUAGAGCGGCCCGCGUCUGAUUAGCUAGUUGGUGAGGUAACGGCUCACCAAGGCGACGAUCAGUAGCUGGUCUGAGAGGAUGACCAGCCACACUGGGACUGAGACACGGCCCAGACUCCUACGGGAGGCAGCAGUGGGGAAUCUUGCGCAAUGGGCGAAAGCCUGACGCAGCCAUGCCGCGUUAAUGAUGAAGGUCUUAGGAUUGUAAAAUUCUUUCACCGGGGACGAUAAUGACGGUACCCGGAGAAGAAGCCCCGGCUAACUUCGUG